GUGCUUGCUUUGGCAGUACAUAUACUAAAAUUGGAACGAUACAGAGAGGAUUAGCAUGGCCCCUCCUGUGCAAGGAUGACACCCAGAUUCUUGAAGCGUUCCAUAUUUUU